UACGAAGGUGGCAAGCGUUGUUCGGAUUUACUGGGCGUACAGGGAGCGUAGGCGGUUGGAUAAGCCCUCCGUGAAAUCUCCAGGCUUAACCUGGAAAGUGCAGAGGGGACUGUUCAGCUAGAGGAUGGGAGAGGAGCGCGGAAUUCCCGGUGUAGCGGUGAAAUGCGUAGAGAUCAGGAAGAACACCCGUGGCGAAGGCGGCCCACUGGGCCGGAACUGACGCUGAGGCGCGAAGGCGUGGGGAGCGAACGGG
rnacentral:rRNA from 1 species